AUGGCGGCGGGGGCGGCCCAGGCGAGGCAGCCGUGGCAGUGGUGGAAGUCGGCUCUGCCCAGCAGUUUGAAGAGCUACUGCGCCUCAAAACCAAGUCACUCCUUGUGGUUCAUUUCUGGGCACCAUGGGCUCCACAGUGUGUACAGAUGAACGAUGUCAUGGCAGAGUUAGCUAAAGAACACCCUCAUGUUUCAUUUGUGAAGCUGGAAGCCGAAGCUGUUCCUGAAGUAUCUGAAAAAUAUGAAAUUAGCUCUGUCCCCAGCUUCCUGUUCUUCAAGAAUUCUCAGAAAGUCGACCGGUUAGAUGGUGCACAUGCCCCAGAGUUGACCAAAAAAGUCCAGCGACACGUGUCUAGCGGAGCCUUUCGCCUAGUACUAAUGAACAUCUUAAAGAAGACCUCAGCCUUCGCCUGAAAAAGCUGACUCACGCUGCCCCCUGCAUGCUGUUCAUGAAGGGAACACCUCAAGAACCGCGCUGUGGUUUCAGCAAGCAGAUGGUGGAAAUCCUUCACAAACACAAUAUUCAGUUCAGCAGCUUUGAUAUCUUCUCAGAUGAAGAAGUUCGACAGGGGCUCAAAACGUACUCUAAUUGGCCCACCUAUCCUCAGCUCUAUGUUUCUGGAGAGCUAAUAGGAGGACUUGACAUAAUUAAGGAGCUGGAAGCAUCAGAAGAGCUGGACACGAUCUGUCCCAAAGCACCCAAGUUAGAGGAAAGGCUCAAAGUGCUGACCAAUAAAGCUUCGGUGAUGCUCUUUAUGAAAGGAAACAAACAGGAAGCAAAAUGUGGAUUCAGCAAACAAAUUCUGGAAAUACUGAAUAGUACUGGGGUUGAAUAUGAAACUUUUGAUAUACUGGAAGAUGAAGAAGUGCGUCAGGGAUUAAAAACGUUCUCAAAUUGGCCAACCUACCCUCAGCUGUAUGUGAGAGGGGAUCUUGUUGGAGGAUUGGAUAUUGUCAAGGAACUGAAAGACAACGGUGAAUUGCUGCCUAUACUGAAAGGAGAAAAU